rnacentral:rRNA from 1 species
GGUAUGGGAUGAGCUUGCGUCCGAUUAGCUAGUUGGCGGGGCAACGGCCCACCAAGGCGACGAUCGGUAGCCGGCCUGAAAGGGUGAUCGGCCACAUUGGGACUGAGAUACGGCCCAGACUCCUACGGGAGGCAGCAGUAGGGAAUAUUGCACAAUGGGGGAAACCCUGAUGCAGCAACGCCACGUGUGGGAAGAAGCAUUUCGGUGUGUAAACCACUGUCAUGAGGGAAUAAGGCCCGCCUUCGGACGGGAUUGAAUGUACCUUGAGAGGAAGCACCGGCAAACUUCGUGCCAGCAGCCGCGGUAAUACGAGGGGUGCAAGCGUUGUUCGGAAUUACUGGGCGUAAAGGGAGCGUAGGCGGAGAUUCAAGCGGAUUGUACAAUCCCGGGGCCCAACCCCGGCUCUGCAGUCCGAACUGGAUCUCUUGGAUAGUUCAGGGGCAGGC